rnacentral:rRNA from 1 species
UGGUGACACGGAAAACCUCGGGAAACUGGCGACCGGAUUGAUAGGUCAGUUCCUAUGUAAGGAGAGAUGGCUUAAAGGGGUACCCGGGCUUAUUCCGUGGAUCUGCUCCAGGAUGGGACUGCGUCCGAUCAGGCUGUUGGCGGGGUAAUGGCCCACCAAACCGGUAACCGGUACGGGCCUUGAGAGAGGGGGCCCGGAGAUGGGCACUGAGAGAAGGGUCCAGGUCUUACGGGGCGCAGCAGGCGCGAACCCCUCGCAAUGCGCGAAAGCGAAGCGAGGUUAGUCCGAGUGACCAGCGCUGAGGGGAUCUUCGUCACCUCUAAACAGGCAGGCGAAUACGACCA